GGAUGUGAGGGCGAUCUGGCUGUGACAUCUGUCACCCCAUUGAUUGCCAGGGUUGAAUUGGCUGAUCUGGCUGGCUAGGCAGGUGUUCCCUUCCUCCCUCAACACUCCAUGUGCAUCCCUCCCAAAGCUGUGCACUCAGUGGAAGAGGACAAUCACCCCUGACAGAGGAGGACUGUUCUCGGUCACAGGUAGAGUAGUAGCUGUGCUCCCCUGCUAGAACCUCCAAACAAGCUCUCAAGACAAUGAGGCUAUAAGUUACUUUAUGAGUAGGGUCUCCAGAAAUUCAGAAACCAGAACAGCCUGAUAAAGGCUCUGUCAGGAGGCUGAUAUUU
rnacentral:snRNA from 1 species